rnacentral:rRNA from 1 species
UACGUAGGGUGCGAGCGUUUAAUCGGGAAUUACUGGGGCGUAAAGCGUGCGCAGGCGGCUAUUUAAGCUUGCUGUGAAAGCCCCCGGGGCUUAACCUGGGAACUGCAGUGAGGACUGGAUGGCUGGAGUGUGGCAGAGGGGGGGUGGAAUUCCACGUGGUAGCAGUGAAAUGCGUAGAGAUGUGGAGGAACACCGAUGGCGGAAGGCAGCCCCCUGGGCUAACACUGACGCUCAGGCACGAAAGCGUGGGGAGCAAACAGG